UAGUCCACGCCGUAAACGAUGAGAACUAGAUGUUGGGAGGGUCAGCCUUUCGGUGUCGCAGCUAACGCAUUAAGUUCUCCGCCUGGGGAGUACGCCGGCAACGGUAAAACUCAAAGAAAUUGACGGGGGCCCGCACAAGCGGUGGAGCAUGUGGUUUAAUUCGACGCAACGCGAAGAACCUUACCUACACUUGACAUGCCCUGUUUGGUUACCAGAGAUGGUAUCCUUCAUUUAGUUGGCAGGUGCACAGGUGCUGCAUGGCUGUCGUCAGCUCGUAUCGUGAGAUGUUGGGUUAAGUCCCGCAACGAGCGCAACCCUCAUCCUUAGUUGCCAGCAGGUUUGGCUGGGCACUCUAAGGAAACUGCCGGUGGCAAGCCGGAGGAAGGUGGGGGAUGACGUCAAGUCCUCAUGGCCCUUACGUGUAGGGGCUACACACGUGCUACAAUGGGCAGAUACAAU
rnacentral:rRNA from 1 species